UACGGGGGGGGCAAGCGUUGUUCGGAAUUACUGGGCGUAAAGGGCUCGUAGGUGGCCAACUAAGUCAGACGUGAAAUCCCUCGGCUUAACCGGGGAACUGCGUCUGAUACUGGAUGGCUUGAGUUCGGGAGAGGGAUGCGGAAUUCCUGGUGUAGCGGUGAAAUGCGCAGAUAUCAGGAAGAACACCCGUGGCUAAGGCGGUUCUCUAGUACGGUACUGACGCUGAGACGCGAAAGCGUGGGGAGCGAACAGG
rnacentral:rRNA from 1 species